GGUCCUCCCGCAACGCUAAACUGCGAACCCCGCCAGGCCCGGAAGGGAGCAACGGUAGUGGUGGCUGCGUGUGCCGGGAUGUGGCU
rnacentral:SRP_RNA from 2 species